CCUACGGGUGGCAGCAGUGGGGAAUAUUGCACAAUGGGGGAAACCCUGAUGCAGCGACGCCGCGUGAGUGAAGAAGUAUUUCGGUAUGUAAAGCUCUAUUAGCAGGGACGAAAAUGAUGGUACCUGCUUAAGAAGCACCGGCUAACUACGUGCCAGCAGCCGCGGUAAUACGUCGGGGGCAAGCGUUAUUCGGAGUUACUGGGUGUAAAGGGAGCGUAGUCGGCAGCACAAGUCUGGAGUGAAAUGCCGGGGCUUAACCCCGGAACUGCUUUUGAAACUGUGCAGCUAGUGUGCAGGAGAGGUAAGUGGAAUGCCUAGUGUAGCGGUGAAAUGCGUAGAUAUUAGGAGGAACACCAGUGGCGAAGGCGGCUUACUGGACUGUAACUGACGUUGAGGCGCGAAAGCGUGGGGAGCAAACAGGAUUAGAUACCCUAGUAGUC
rnacentral:rRNA from 1 species